CUCGAUUUCGCAGCCACGCACACGAAUGGCCUCUACGAGAAGUCCACGCGAAGUUCCUGAAGAGAUCCAAUCCUGCGGAAGUGCUAGCUUGCGCAGAAUUUCUUGAGGCUGAAAUUUGAUCUUCCAAACACUAUCAACUUUUGAUCCGCCUUCUUGGAAGAACUUGGAGGAAAGGUUUAAAGGGAUUGAAGAGGACAUAGAUCUGAUCUAAAGACUCUUAUCAGGGACCCCUAACACUAAUGGCGCGAUGGACUUAGAGGAGGAAGAAGUCAGCUAGAUUGAAUGCAGAAUUUUUCCAUGCAUGAACUAGGGUUCCUCUCUUUUCUUUUCCCUUUUUUCUUCUUCUUUUUCUCUCUUUUUCCUUUUAUUCGACCACCAGAUGAUGGAGGUCCUUUUAAUGUUGCUCUCCUACCUAACUUCAUGCCAACCAUCCCAUAUUUGUGGAGGAUUUUGUGGGGUUUUGAAUUUUGAAUUCAAAAUUCAAGUUCAUGUGCCAUUACAUGAUGAAGCUUGAUCUAAUCUAAACCAUUCAUCAUGUUGCCACUUCCCUCUUUCAAUUUCGAAAUUCCCAUGCCCC
rnacentral:lncRNA from 1 species